rnacentral:rRNA from 1 species
AGGGUUUGAUCCUGGCUCAGGAUGAACGCUAGCGGCAGGCUUAACACAUGCAAGUCGAGGGGUAGAAGCAGCUUGCUGCUUUGAGACCGGCGCACGGGUGCGUAACGCGUAUACAAUCUACCUUUUACAGAGGGAUAGCCCAGAGAAAUUUGGAUUAAUACCUCAUAGUAUUUUCGAAUCGCAUGGUUUGAUUAUUAAAGUUCCAACGGUAAAAGAUGAGUAUGCGUCCCAUUAGCUAGAUGGUAAGGUAACGGCUUACCAUGGCAACGAUGGGUAGGGGUCCUGAGAGGGAGAUCCCCCACACUGGUACUGAGACACGGACCAGACUCCUACGGGAGGCAGCAGUGAGGAAUAUUGGACAAUGGGCGCAAGCCUGAUCCAGCCAUGCCGCGUGCAGGAAGACGGUCCUAUGGAUUGUAAACUGCUUUUAUACAGGAAGAAACACACCCUCGUGAGGGUACUUGACGGUACUGUAUGAAUAAGCAUCGGCUAACUCCGUGCCAGCAGCCGCGGUAAUACGGAGGAUGCAAGCGUUAUCCGGAAUCCUUGGGUUUAAAGGGUCC